AGUUACUUUCCAUUUCAAAUGAGUAGAGGAAAGCAGAAUUGACAGUAUGCAAGUAGGGAAAUUAAGUCAUAAAAGGCACCAUGGUUUCCUGGCUGCUCUCUCUCUUGGAUUGCUCAGAGUGAGACUGCUCACUCUGGGGAAAGCCAGGUGCUCUGUCGUGAGGGCAUUUAAAAAGUCCCAUAGAGAGUCCCACUUGGGAAGAACUGAGGCCACCUGCCAGCAUCCACAUGAGUGAACUUGGAAGUGGAUCUUCCGGCCCCAGUCAAGCCUUCAGAUGACUGCAGCCCUGGCUGACAUCCUAACUGGAGCUUCAUUAUAGACUCUGAGCCAGAACCACAAAAUUAAACAACCUUCAAGUCCCUGACCCACAGAAAAUAACUCCAUCCUUGGGUAUAACCAGCUUUGUGUCUACACAUGUCCACAUUGGAGCAGCUGACUGGUUGAAGAAAACACAUAACCUUGCCCACUUGCUCCAAUCGAAAUGUAUGAUGGCAGAUUGCAGUAUUCUCCACGGCAGGACAUGAAUUGUGAAUGCUUCAGAGGGUGGCCCAGAAGCAGCAUCUCCGGUGAUUCUAAAAGUUAUAGCUCAAGCUCAUGGGUCACUGGGAGAAGAUAGGACACUGGAUGCUUUCAACAUAAUCACAUAGAAAAGGAGCUUUCAUUCUCUGUUUACUGAGAAGAUUAGAAACAGUGGUGUACAUUUACCAUCAUGGCAAACGAAGGAUGCCGAAGAGUAAAUCUCUCCCCCCGCCCCCACUGCCAAGUGACUUUUUCAUUUUCUACUCUGACCUAUAAUUCUACCAUUCCUGGCUUAUUUUUAUGUUUCAGGCGUAUCUGACUUUCAGGCAUACUGUAUAAAUCAAGGUUAAAAUGUUAACACAAGUGCAAUAUGAGAGAACAUAUUCAAGGACAUAUGCUUGAGAAGAACAUGACAGGAAAAACUACCAAGGAAUAAAGGGAAUCUAAUAAAUUUGGCAGAACCUUCAGAAUGAUGCUCCAUGGCUGAGAAGGAUGCUUGAGAACAACUGUUACCCUCUGGGUAGCUGGGGACAUGAUCUCUUCUUCCCGUGCUGAGUGUUAACCUCCUGAUGCACCUAAUAAGCAGGUUUAUGACAGCAUACUGCAUUUCCUACAGAAUAACUGCCUAAGACAUUCAAAGCAAACACACAGUCCCUUUCUUUUUGGGGGGAGGGGUAGGGAGAAGCUGGGUACAUAUUAAGGAAUUCCUUUCCAGUAAGUAUUUCUCUUCCACAAUCUACCUAACACUGAGUUAACCAUCAAAAUAAUGCUAGCAGAAAAAAGUGCUCCAUUUAUUAGGAACUGCAUUCGUGCCUUCCUCCAUCACAGGGCGAUUCUGAAAGUAUCCUAAUAAAAGAGACAAAUGCCAAAGGCAGUGGCAUCAAGACCAAAGCAUCUUAAAAAUGAACACAUUGCUGGUAUUUCCUUGGUUUCCUGCCUCCUGCUUCCAACAUGUUAACUGAUGAACAUCUGAGAAGACAGGCCAUCUUUUCCGGAUGCUCUUUGUUCAAACUUUAAUAAAGACUUAUUUUUUAAAUGACACAAAGCAUGGGAACAUACAUACCACUGGGCCAGGGUCUCCUUUUGGGCCCUACAAGAAAAACAUGGGAAGUCACUUUGAAAAUAAUGAUGGAAAAGCAAAAUUAUAGAAUGUAGAGCAUUUUAAUACAAUUUGUUUUAUACACAGGAAAUAUCUGCAGGUUUUAUUUUGCUACGGUUUGGAUUUGAAGAAUAAGAUGAAGAAACAUAACUUGAUGGAACCCCCACGAGUGUGACUGCUUGGACACCGAUUUUGUUCUUAGAUGUACAAUCCAGAAAGUGACACCACCAUGCAGAAUGCUGUUUUUUGUGAUUUAGGCUGUCCCGGUGACCUGCAGGCUAUAACACGGUCGUGCUGAUGAAGAUGUGAACAGGGAGCAAUUUGGCUACUGAAAAGUAAUUUUUUUCUACGGUCUCUUCAUAAGUAGAAAAUUAAAGUAAAUGGGGGAAAUGAUGUUACUCACAACCCUUUGUGGAUGUUUCUACAAAAAUAUAUUCUGUAGAACAAAAGGGAAUGAGAACUUCCUAAU